rnacentral:misc_RNA from 1 species
GUGAAUCAUCGAAUCUUUGAACGCACAUUGCACUCUCCGCAAGGAGAGUAUGCCUGUUUGAGAAUCUAUAGUAUUUAUUUCUCUGGUAUUUAUACCACUGAAGAUCUGACUUAUCCGUUGGUUUACCAGCGGUGGGUUUAAAGCUAUUGCUCUGAACGGUAUCUCGAGUGUUUGACUCCGGUAGCCUGCUGAAAAGUGUUUGAAUGAGACCUUGGUUUCUUUGAUGCUUAGUACUCAGUGAUCGGAUUAGCUCAAGGUGAGUUUGGAGUCCAUAAAUAUAAAGGCAAGCGAACCGCCCUU